AUUGAACGCUGGCGGCAGGCCUAACACAUGCAAGUCGAGCGGCGCGGGAGAGGGGUGAGGAAUGGCUAGGUAUGGGCCUGGGAGCGGGGGAGGACGUCCGGAAACGGGCACUAAUACCGCAUACUAUCACAUGAGCCUAGGUGGGAUUAGCUAGAUGGUGGGGUAAAGGCCCACCAAGGCGACGAUCCGUAACUGGUCUGAGAGGAUGAUCAGUCACACUGGAACUGAGACACGGCCCAGACUCCUACGGGAGGCAGCAGUGGGGAAUAUUGGACAAUGGGCGAAAGCCUGAUGCAGCCAUGCCGCGUGUGUGAAGAAGGUCUUCGGAUUGUAAAGUACUUUAAGUUGGGAGGCGUUACCAACAGAAGAAGCACCGGCUAACUUCGUGCCAGCAGCCGCGGUAAUUC
rnacentral:rRNA from 1 species